GAUGAACGCUGGCGGCGUGCCUAAUACAUGCAAGUCGAGCGAACGGACGAGAAGCUUGCUCCUCUGAUGUUAGCGGCGGACGGGUGAGUAACACGUGGAUAACCUACCUAUAAGACUGGGAUAACUUCGGGAAACCGGAGCUAAUACCGGAUAAUAUAUUGAACCGCAUGGUUCAAAAGUGAAAGACGGUCUUGCUGUCACUUAUAGAUGGAUCCGCGCCGCAUUAGCUAGUUGGUAAGGUAACGGCUUACCAAGGCAACGAUGCAUAGCCGACCUGAGAGGGUGGUCGGGCACACUGGAACUGAGGACCCGUCCAGACUCCUGAGGGAGGCAGCCGUAGGGAAUCUUCCGGCAUGGGCGAAAGCCUGACGGAGCAACGCCGCGUGAAGGAAGAAGGUCUUCGGAUCCUAAAACUCUGUUAAUAGGGGAGGACCAAUGUGUAAGUAACUGUGCACAUCUUGACGGUACCUAAUCCAGAAGCCCCGGCUAACUUCCUG
rnacentral:rRNA from 1 species